UACGUAGGGCGCGAGCGUUGUCCGGAAUUAUUGGGCGUAAAGAGCUCGUAGGCGGCCUGUCGCGUCGGUUGUGAAAGCCCGGGGCUCAACCCCGGGUCUGCAGUCGAUACGGGCAGGCUAGAGUUCGGUAGGGGAGAUCGGAAUUCCUGGUGUAGCGGUGAAAUGCGUAGAUAUCUGGAGGAACACCGGUGGCGAAGGCGGCAUCCUGGACCAACACUGACACUGAGGAGCGAAAGCCAGGGGAGCAAACGGG
rnacentral:rRNA from 1 species